UACGUAGGGUGCGAGCGUUGUCCGGAAUUAUUGGGCGUAAAGAGCUCGUAGGCGGUCUGUCGCGUCGGUCGUGAAAACUUGGGGCUUAACCCUGAGCUUGCGGUCGAUACGGGCAUGACUGGAGUUCGGUAGGGGAGACUGGAAUUCCUGGUGUAGCGGUGAAAUGCGCAGAUAUCCGAAGGAACACCGGUGGCGAAGGCGGCAUCCUGGACUGGCAUUGACGCUGAGGCGCGAAAGCUAGGGGAGCAAACGGG
rnacentral:rRNA from 1 species